UUGCUCUAUGCCCUAUUUUGUAUGUUUUUCAUUUAUAGGUGAAGAGGCUGGAGCACAGAGAGGUGAAAUAAUUUGGCCAAGGCCACACAACUGGAAAGCGGGACUAAAGAAAGGCCAGGACUGAAGAUGGAGAACACAGGAUCAUGCACAGGAGGAACCACUGAUGACAGCUCCAAGGAAGAGAGAGAGAGAAAGGAACACAGGGUGAAUGAACCUGCACUCUUAAUCCGGAGCCAGACUUUGUCAUGAGAAGGAGCAAAGAAUGUUGUCCUAACUCCCAAAGCUGGGUCUUUGCAUAUCAGGGGCCAAGCAUGGUGGCAUCUGAUCAUCAAGUUUGCUUAUCUAAAUCAUGGACUGUGAAAGGAGAAUCAUACCUGUCAGGUACCUCCAUGUCACAACUCUUGGUCUUAUCUCUGAGAUACACUGAGCUUCUGGUCUUUUGGCCCAAUCUCCCCCAGCUCUUGAUGCGCCAAGUCUUUCCUGUGGGAGCUGGAGAAGAAAAGGACUGUAAAAGGAUCUUACUUUGAAAGUUACUGCAGUGGUCCAGAAUGCUCAAAGAUGCAUCUUUGAAGGGCAUGGAGCCCCGGAGAAGUUCUGACCUGUGUGAACCCUCUCUCCCGCUGCUAGAAGAUAACUCAGAGAGGCGGUUCUGAGGUCACUUCACUGGACACAUGUUGGAAGAAAGGAAAGGGACAGCCUCACUUUCCAGCAUUGUCCAGAUUCAUCAGGAAGCAAAUCGGGACUGCUUUGUCAACUCAUGAGGUGAUGUUUGAAAACAGCACGAGACAGAGUCUAAGACGUCUGUCUUCUCAGUUAAUGUAUCAUUCCUAUUAUGGAGAGAUGCCCAUUCUGUUGGGCUUCUUGUGGACAAGGGCUGGUUGUGCAUAGAAGGCCAGCCAAGCACACAAGAGUGCGUCAAAAGGGUGGAACAGAACCUGGCCAAAAGCAUCUCCUUCUUAAGUUACUCUUGGCUGAAGGUUUUCAUUAAUCCCCAGCCUGGGGGCAGAGAGAAAGAAAGGAUUGAUGGUUGAUAAUAGUUAUUACUGAAUACCUACUAUGUGCUCGCUGUGUACUAUGUAUGUAUGUAUGCUGAAUACCUACUAUGCUCCAGGUGAAAACCUUCACAAUUACACCACGUUAUGCAAGCCUCAAGACAAGUUUAUAAAAUAGCUGUCCGAUGUAGCUCAUUUUUAGCUGGAGAAGACAAGACUAAGAGAGGUUAAGUUCUUGGCCUCUGAUUACACUGAGGUGGGAGCAGAACUCACUUGCCUGACCUGGGAGCCCACUCUAGCUGCUGCAGCAAGAGCUUCCCUAGAGUAUUUGUGCUUGCUUUGUGUGAUUGUCUACCACACGUGUGCAUGGCCCAAAGUUAUAGAUUUAAUACGCUGAUUAUAGCGCAUUCCCUCAUAGGGCCUUUCUAAGUUUCAGUGAAUCCUUUGUCAUUUUUAUACAUGUCUCCAGACAUCGUUCAGGGGUAAGCCUGAGUCAGUCAGAUACAGACAGGGACUGGCCAUCAAGAAAGCAAUGGUCCUCACAGAACGGGCCACACUGGGUCUCUCCCAGACCUAUCUGACUAAAUCACCCUUGCUCUCAGGACUGGAUGGCUGCUGAUUUCGAAGGUUUUGAGAAAGCUUCCCCAGCUGUGCAGGCUCUGUCUGCCCCAUCUACUGAGUUGGAUGCAAAUUCCCAGGAACAUGAAUCACCUGCUUUUCUCUAGGGUUUUGCUCCAUCCCUGGCUCCAAAUAUUUCAUAGCAGCAAUGCCAAAAAGAAGCCCUGAGAGAGAGGAAAGCUUGCAUAUUAAUUCCAGUGGCGACGUAAUGAGAAUUUCAUUCACUUACUUUGAAUUCCCUGGUGUUCCCCCAUCCUCCCCUUGGUUCAUUAACUCUCCGUACCUUGCCCGGCUGCUGAAUCUCAAAAGAAUGGAUGCACUCUCGUUUCCUCCAGCAGUUUGCCUGGUCCUCUCCUCCCUGCAUUUCCCCCAGGCCCUCACACAUACAUCUGCUCCCGCCCCUAACAGAGGUCUUUAUCCAGGCACGGAGUGUGUUAUUCUCGCUCUCCAGGAGAAGACAGCCUCCUUAGAGUGAGGGCUUCUCCUAAGUUCUGCAAUCCUAUCAGGCUCUGCUGGGCUUCCCGUCUCUGAUAUUGGUGUGUGUGUGUGUGUGUGUGUGUGUGUGAGCGCGCGCGUGUGCAUGCGCACAGUCCAUGGUUCUCCCCCUCAACCCAACACAACAGACGCCCUCAUUUAUUUCAGAGAGGGACCUAACUCAGUUGUGUUCAAAAUACAACAAAACGCCUUUCCGUAAUCUGAGCCUAUAAUUCCAGAUGAAGAUUUAGGAGUAUGAAAACUUGUACAGGGAUGGGGGGGGGGGGGUUGUGGUUUGGGGCGAAAGUGUAAACUGGAAUUUAUAAGCCACCCAGCACAGGUUAGAGCCAAGAGCUGACAGUUUCAUUCUCAGUUUAGAUGAAGAAGCAAACAUGCUUUUACAGCAGAACAAUCUCAUUUAAUCUUUGCUAACCACUUCUGCCAGAAGGUGUCUCUGAAAUACCUGAGCAGGGGUGCGUGUGGGUAUGCUUGCAUGCAUGUGUCAUCUCACCGCAUAAACUAGGGAAUGUAGACGAGGGCACUGUUCCUCCCCGUCCUGUAGAUGUGCUUUCACUGCUCUAAGUUGGCUGCAGGGCUGAAUACACUCUUCAGGCUUUGGAGGCGCAGGGCUGACUCCAUGGGUGUGUACAUGGGCCAGCACAUGCGGUAGGACUCUGCACUUGCCAAUGCUGUGCUGUUGCUGUCUUAAAAUUCUUAACGAUUUAUAUACAACAAGGGAUCUGCACUCUCCGUUUAGCACUAGGACCCAUAAUUAGGCAGCUGAUCCUAUUGAGAAGCAGAUCAUAGAUAGAACAAUGGCUAAAAACACCAAAUAGAAAUGAGUUGUGUGAUCUUGGGUCAGUCACUUCACCCUGCCGAGCCUCAGCUGGGCUCAAAUUUGGAGGCUCUCAACUCUGGCCGUACCUCUGAAUCACCAGAGGAGCUCUGGAGGAAUAUCAAUGUACUAGAAUCCAUUUGGAAAGGGCACUGGCAGCAGAAUUGUUCUGAAGUUUUUUUUGAAAUUCUGCAGGUGAUUCUGAUGCAAAAUUGUUUUUGAAAACAUAAUCCUGGGUAAUCUAAGCUCUGUUUUCUGUGCUCGUGUAUUCAUUUUCCUUGGUAUCUGUUUGAAUUCCUGUGACUGCUAUAUUCCAUUCUGUAAUACGGGUAUGCUUGUUUUAAUUUAAAGCUAACAUUUUAAAUUUAUUACUAUCUAGUAAAAGGACACUGCAGGAAGAUGCACCAUAUUUAAUUUGUGUAUAAGUCAUGGCUUUGCACCCUCAGAUGUGUGUGCAGCCCACUUUGACAGGCCUAGGACUAGACUGGUUAUGGUCUUUAAGGACCUUUAUUGCUUCAAUAUUCUUUGGGCCUGUGGCCUGUCUUGCGCAGAUCUCUCCACAGGUGGCCAUAUUCAUGUGAGAAAUGAAUUCCUUAGAUGUAUGUGUCCUGCCCUGCUAACAUCACCAACCCUGGGCCUUCAAGGAAGUUCAAUGACUAAAGAUCAAGGUCAAAACAGGGAGUGAUUGGUGUAGGCCCAGGGAAGGAAUCUGAAUUCUCAGCUGCUCCAGCAAGUUAACAGAAGAGUCUCACCCUUAGUCACAUCGGGAAACAUCAAUACUGUUGAAUAGUUUAUACCAAGUUAGAUCUCUUAGAGCUGCCCUGGGAUUGCUCUGGGCAAAACAUGACAAAGGUCAAUUUGCCUUUGUUCUCUUCAGAACCCUCAAAGAGGGUUUGUUCUCUUUGUUCUCUUCAGUCCCUUGUUCUCUUCAGAAUCCCUCAAAAUGACCAAUAUGUUCAAGGGUAUUUCUGCCAGCCUAAUCAGGCCUGCCCACUAGGGGAUUAGUAUAUUCCAUGACCCAAACCACCUUUCUUCUGUCACAUAGCUGCCCUUGGAACAGGAUUUGAUAAACUAAUUCUCACUAAAGUGUCAAUGACUGGUGCAGUCUCCUUAGUUCUUUCCAAGUGUAGUAUAUUGCAACAAGGCUGCAUUUGCUUAGUCCAAAAGAAUGUGGCUUUAAGAUAGAAUUUGAGGCACGAAUGGCAAUCAAGGAGGGGUCUAGUUAGACCUAGAGCAGGCUUCCUGGACCUCCUCAAAUAACACAGCUCCUCUGGCAGUUGGCCAUAUGUUUGUCAUUUAAGCAACAAAUAAUGCUAUCAGCAAGCAAGUCUUUGAACAUAUGAAAGCAUGUAUUAAAAAAUCAACCGACCAAAUAAAUGUAAAACCCAAGGAUAUAACUUGAAU